GCUAGAACCUUACGAUACACGGUUCUAACGAGCUGGAGGCUAACUGUUGGGGUCAAAACCGGUCACGACGGAAUUAACGCCUGAAAGCCCACGGAAACUAUAUUUAAAAAAGAAAUGAAAUAACGAACUUUCGUAAAAAAAUUACCGAAAAGAAUUUUUACGAAAGAUAUGUCUGUAAUAUCAAAGCUAUCAACCAAUCAUUCGAAAACAUGCUCGAAAGGAAACUUAAGUCGACCAACGAACGUCGAACCAUUCGAGCAAACGAACCAUC
rnacentral:lncRNA from 1 species